GCGAUUUUAUUGUGUACGGAGAUGACGUAAUGUUAGUGUCAAAAAUGACGUCAUGGGAUCGCAACAUUAUAGUUUAGAAACUAUGAAGGCAUGAAAAGUGACCGAACCUGUUUAAUUGUCGUCAUCGUUUUUGCAGGAUGGCUAGUCAAUGUGUCUUCAGCUGCAAGCUUAAUAAACAAUCGGCAAGGAGAACGCGGCCUCAACUCCAGUGACGUCAAUCAAGCGGAUCACGUAAUAUCUCGCAAUGAUGGAGGACACGACGGCACACGAAAGUUGACAAACAAUCAACGAAAAGAUGGGUCUACUAUUCAACAACCGGAAGUUGAUAACGAAAGCUCUGCGCGUGAGCGACGUUGGGCAGACUAUGAUCCUAACUAUGACUGGGAAAAUGGCGGGAAGGAUUACGUUGUUCCGGGUAUGGCGCGAAAAAGAAAAGAGACAAAGUUCGAAAAAUUUGCCAAGGAGUGGCAGAAGAAUUCUAUCAAGUACAUCUUCCUGUUUUCGUUCCUUUGCAUGAUCGUCUGCUGCUGUCUCGCCUGCUGCAAGCGCUUAUGCGUGAGGACCUACGAGGUCGUCUGCUUUCAUUGCCGAGACUGGCGCGACCUCUGCCUCAACCGGGAUCCCACUUACAUACGUGCGCGCCAGUUUGCGGACGACUAUGGAAUCAAACUGGACUACGACCAGUACAAGAAAAUCAAAAAGUCCUACGAAGAGGGGCUUAAAAAACAAGGCUACGGCAGUAAAAUUGACCUGUCCGGCCGAGGGAUGAAAGGCGCUGGGCGUUAAAACUUGUUUGUUUGAUUAAUGUAAACGGGAAGCGAUGUACUGGCUAUUUAGCACCGGGGUGCGUUUUGUAAUAUAUGCAAUCAAUGAACAUAAGCACUGUGGUUGCCACGAGACCGCCACGCAGCUGACUGGUGGUUGCAAUGCCAAGAAUUGUAAUCCGUAUACUAAGCGAGGGCAUUGGUACGUCUGCGCACGGAAAUAGCCCGGAAAGGUCUUUAAACUGUUGAUCAUCGAGUCCACAGGCGAUGCUUCUUAACUACUGACAUUUAAAAAAAAAUCUAAAAUUUAAAAAUGCUCCAUAUGUUAUCAAUCAUGCCAAAUCAUUUUAUUCUUUUUUAAUGUAUGUCAGCAUUUGCUCCUGUAAGUUGGUAUCACAAUAUUUUGGUAAAUUAAGAUAUACUUAACAUACGAUAUUGUUCCAAUAGCAAUAUAUAUUUUGUGAGGGUAUAGGAUAACCCGGAGGAAACCUGACCUGUCUGGUAUGGUGACCAACAUUCAAAUGAACGUGAAUCGGGAUCGGGGAUGAAACCCGAGUCGUCUAGGCAAAAGCGUGUGUCAAUACAACCGCACGAUCCGGAUGGCCGAAUUGUUUUGUAUUUGAACGGUCAAUAACAUUGGUUUAAUAGUUUCUUUUACCGCGCCUGAGUUCAGCAAUUUGCUUGAAAGUGCCUAAAUGCUUCGCCCGGUAAAGGCUAUCUAUUCGUCAUAAACACUCAUCAAUUAUUAUAUAAUAUCUAAAGUACGUUUAUUUACGAUAAUGUUCGACUCCAAAUUGCGUCCAUUACAUACAGAAUUUGCCGUUUAAACAUAGAUUGUCCAUGUGUAGAGAAUUCUAUGAUGUAAAUC